UUCAUCAUGGCCGCGCGUUUUUUCUUUCACACGUUGUGAAGAUUCCAUUGACAAAAAAACGUUCCGAAAACUCAUCAUUUGAUCAUCUUCAACAGCUUGACUUCAUUCAGAGAGAAUUGGAGAACAAAUUGCAGAUGGACCCAUCAGUACCAGUACAAGAAUCGAAGAUGUUCAGUCUUCAUUUGCACUCUUCUUUCAUGAAGCUGGGACCUGGUUGACGUUCAUCUUCUUCACCACUAUGUGACCACUUUGUUUUCACCUUCAUCUGUAAAUUCAUAGAAUCAUCUCACUAGUGGUACUGAGCAAACCAUCGAUGUUCAAAGACCACCACAAGAAAUGACAAUGAGCAACUUGUCAUGCAACCAAGACAAUUCAGUCAUGCAGAGAGUUGGAACUUCAUUAAGAGUGACAGCCCAAUCCAGACAGAGAGUGUCGACGGCUCUUCAUUACGAGUGACAACCCCUACACAGAGAGAGAGAGUGUCAGUACUUCAGGAGAAUGACUGCAGGAAACACUUUCAUCAAGAUUUCCUUUUCUAUAAUUAAUUGUAAAGUUCAAGGGGAUGGAUCAUUAUUCGUUAGGUCAGAAAACUACCUCAAACUAAAGUGAAUACACAUUGUGUGGAAAAAUACCCAUACUUCCCUUGUGGUGAUCUACUUCCCUUGUGGUGAUCUACUUCCCUUGUGGU